rnacentral:rRNA from 1 species
CACUCCUACGGGAGGCAGCAGUGGGGAAUAUUGCACAAUGGGCGCAAGCCUGAUGCAGCCAUGCCGCGUGUAUGAAGAAGGCCUUCGGGUUGUAAAGUACUUUCAGCAGUGAGGAAGGUGGAUAUGUUAAUAGCAUAUUCAUUUGACGUUAGCUGCAGAAGAAGCACCGGCUAACUCCGUGCCAGCAGCCGCGGUAAUACGGAGGGUGCGAGCGUUAAUCGGAAUUACUGGGCGUAAAGCGCAUGCAGGUGGUUUGUUAAGUCAGAUGUGAAAGCCCGGGGCUCAACCUCGGAAUUGCAUUUGAAACUGGCAAACUAGAGUACUGUAGAGGGGGUAGAAUUUCAGGUGUAGCGGUGAAAAUGCGUAGAGAUCUGAAGGAAUACCGGUGGCGAAGGCGGCCCCCUGGACAGAUACUGACACUCAGAUGCGAAAAGCGUGGGGAGCAAACAGGAUUAGAUACGCUGGUAG